rnacentral:rRNA from 1 species
UACGUAGGGGGCGAGCGUUGUCCGGAAUCAUUGGGCGUAAAGAGCGUGUAGGCGGGCCGGAAGGUCUGGUGUGAAAGCCCGGGGGCUCAACCCCGGAGGGUCACCGGAAACCGACGGUCUUGAGUCCGGAAGAGGAGAGUGGAAUUCCGUGGUGUAGCGGUGGAAUGCGCAGAUAUCAGGAGGAACACCAUGGCGAAGGCAGCUCUCUGGUACGUGACUGACGCUGAGACGCGAAAGCGUGGGGAGCGAACAGG